UUAAGCUACUAAGAGCACACGGAGGAUGCCUAGGCGCUAGGAGCCGAAGAAGGACGUGGCGAACAACGAAACUGCCUCGGGGAGCUGUAAGCAAGCAUCGAUCCGGGGAUGUCCGAAUGGGGAAACCCGGCUAGGGUAAUACCUAGUCACUCAUCACUGAAUCCAUAGGUGGUGAAGAGGCAUACCAGGGGAACUGAAACAUCUAAGUACCCUGAGGAAGAGAAAACAAUAGUGAUUCCGUCAGUAGCGGCGAGCGAACGCGGAUUAGCCUAAACCGAAGAGCUUGCUCUUCGGGGUUGUGGGACGUCUCACAUGGAGUUACAAAGGCAGAGGUUAGACGAACAGGUCUGGAAAGGCCGGCCAAAGAAGGUAAAAGCCCUGUAAUCGAAAGUCUCCGCCCUCCGAGACGGAUCCCGAGUAGUGCGGGGCACGUGAAACCCCGUAUGAAUCUGCCAGGACCAUCUGGUAAGGCUAAAUACUCCCUAGCGACCGAUAGUGAAGCAGUACCGUGAGGGAAAGGUGAAAAGCACCCCGGAAGGGGAGUGAAAGAGAACCUGAAACCGUGUGCUUACAAGAAGUCAGAGCCCAUUUUAGGGGUGAUGGCGUGCCUUUUGUAGAAUGAACCGGCGAGUUACGUUUGCAAGCAAGGUUAAGCUGAGAAAGCGGAGCCGCAGCGAAAGCGAGUCUGAAUAGGGCGAAUUUAGUUUGCAGGCGUAGACCCGAAACCGUGUGAUCUACCCCUGUCCAGGGUGAAGGUGCGGUAACACGCACUGGAGGCCCGAACCCACGUACGUUGAAAAGUGCGGGGAUGAGGUGGGGGUAGCGGAGAAAUUCCAAUCGAACUCGGAGAUAGCUGGUUCUCCCCGAAAUAGCUUUAGGGCUAGCCUCGGUGUGACAGUCGUGGAGGUAGAGCACUGAUUGGGUGCGGGGCCCGCAAGGGUUACCAAGCUCAGUCAAACUCCGAAUGCCAUAGACUGAUUCGCCGGGAGUCAGACAGUGAGUGCUAAGAUCCAUUGUCAAAAGGGAAACAGCCCAGACCAUCAGCUAAGGUCCCCAAGUGUGUGUUAAGUGGGAAAGGAUGUGGAGUUGCACAGACAACCAGGAUGUUGGCUUAGAAGCAGCCACCAUUUAAAGAGUGCGUAAUAGCUCACUGGUCGAGUGACUCUGCGCCGAAAAUGUAACGGGGCUAAACACACCACCGAAGCUAUGGCUUGAUGCUUGCAUCAGGGGUAGGGGAGCGUUGUAUGAGGGUUGAAGGUGUACCGGAAGGAGCGCUGGACUUCAUACAAGUGAGAAUGCCGGUAUGAGUAACGAAAAGAUCAGUGAGAAUCUGAUCCGCCGAAAGCCUAAGGGUUCCUGAGGAAGGUUCGUCCGCUCAGGGUAAGUCGGGACCUAAGGCGAGGCCGAAAGGCGUAGUCGAAGGACAACAGGUUUAAAUUCCUGUACCACCGUAAUCCGCUAUGAGCGAUGGGGUGACGCAGGAGGGUAGUGACGCGGGGCGAUGGAAUGCCCCGUCCAAGCAGUGAGGCUGGUGUGUAGGCAAAUCCGCACACCGUAAGGCUGGGCUGUGAUGGGGAGGGAAAAUUUACAGUACCGAAGGUCAUGAUCUCACACUGCCGAGAAAAGCCUCUAGCCAGGAGAAGGUGCCCGUACCGCAAACCGACACAGGUAGGCGAGAAGAGAAUUCUAAGGCGCGCGGAAGAACUCUCGUUAAGGAACUCGGCAAAAUGACCCCGUAACUUCGGGAGAAGGGGUGCCCCGGUAGGGUUUAUAGCCCGAGGGGGCCGCAGUGAAAAGGCCCAAGCGACUGUUUAGCAAAAACACAGGUCUGUGCGAAGCCGCAAGGCGAAGUAUACGGGCUGACGCCUGCCCGGUGCUGGAAGGUUAAGGGGAGCGGUUAGGAGUAAUCCGAAGCUGUGAACCGAAGCCCCAGUAAACGGCGGCCGUAACUAUAACGGUCCUAAGGUAGCGAAAUUCCUUGUCAGGUAAAUUCUGACCCGCACGAAUGGCGUAACGACUUGGGCGCUGUCUCAACGAGAGAUCCGGUGAAAUUUUAAUACCUGUGAAGAUGCAGGUUACCCGCGACAAGACGGAAAGACCCCAUGGAGCUUUACUGCAGCUUGAUAUUGGACUUUGAUACGAUUUGUACAGGAUAGGUGGGAGCCUAAGAAGUGGGAGCGCAAGCUUCCAUGGAGGCGCCGUUGGGAUACCACCCUGAUCGUAUCGGAGUUCUAACCCGGUACCGUGAUCCGGUACGGGGACCGUGUCAGGCGGGCAGUUUGACUGGGGCGGUCGCCUCCUAAAGAGUAACGGAGGCGCCCCAAGGUUCCCUCAGAAUGGUUGGAAAUCAUUCGCAGAGUGCAAAGGCAAAAGGGAGCUUGACUGCGAGACUGACAAGUCGAGCAGGGACGAAAGUCGGGCUUAGUGAUCCGGUGGUACCGCAUGGAAGGGCCAUCGCUCAACGGAUAAAAGCUACCCUGGGGAUAACAGGCUUAUCUCCCCCAAGAGUCCACAUCGACGGGGAGGUUUGGCACCUCGAUGUCGGCUCAUCGCAUCCUGGGGCUGAAGUAGGUCCCAAGGGUUGGGCUGUUCGCCCAUUAAAGCGGUACGCGAGCUGGGUUCAGAACGUCGUGAGACAGUUCGGUCCCUAUCUGUCGUGGGCGCAGGAAAUUUGAGAGGAGCUGUCCUUAGUACGAGAGGACCGGGAUGGACGCACCGCUGGUGUACCAGUUGUUCCGCCAGGAGCACAGCUGGGUAGCUAAGUGCGGACGGGAUAAGCGCUGAAAGCAUCUAAGCGUGAAGCCCCCCUCAAGAUGAGAUUUCCCAAUUAGUAAGACCCCUUGAAGACGACGAGGUUGAUAGGCCUGAGGUGGAAGUGCAGCAAUGCAUGGAGCUGACAGGUACUAAUCGGUCGAGGGCUUAUCCAA
rnacentral:rRNA from 1 species